GUGCCAGCCGCCGCGGUAACACGUAAGAGGCAAGCGUUGUCCGGAAUCACUGGGCGUAAAGGGUACGCAGGCGGUCUAGCAAGUCAGAGGUGAAAGCCACCGGCUUAACUGGUGAAGUGCCUUUGAAACUGUUGGACUUGAGGACAGGAGAGGAAAGCGGAAUUCUCGGUGUAGUGGUGAAAUACGUAGAGAUCGGGAAGAAUACCAAUGGUGAAAACAGCUUUCUGGCCUGAUCCUGACGCUGAGGUACGAAAGCCAGGGUAGCAAACGGGAUUAGAUACCCCGGUAGUCC
rnacentral:rRNA from 1 species